rnacentral:rRNA from 1 species
GACGAACCGUGCGAACGUUAUUCGGAAUCACUGGGCUUAAAGCGCGUGUAGGCGGCCCGGCACGUCCGUCGCUGAAAUCCCCCGGCUCAACCGGGGAAGUGGCGUGGAUACGACCGGGCUGGAGGGGGGUAGGGGGAGCCGGAACUUCCGGUGGAGCGGUGAAAUGCGUUGAGAUCGGAAGGAACGCCCGUGGCGAAAGCGGGCUCCUGGACCCCACCUGACGCUGAGACGCGAAAGCCCAGGGGAGCGAACGGG